UACGUAGGUGACAAGCGUUGUCCGGAUUUACUGGGCGUAAAGAGCGCGCAGGCGGUCGUUCAAGUCGAGUGUGAAAGCCCCCGGCUCAACUGGGGAGGGUCACUCGAUACUGAUCGACUCGAAGGCAGGAGAAGGUAGUGGAAUUCCCGGUGUAGUGGUGAAAUGCGUAGAUAUCGGGAGGAACACCAGUGGCGAAGGCGACUACCUGGCCUGUUCUUGACGCUGAGGCGCGAAAGCUAGGGGAGCAAACGGG
rnacentral:rRNA from 1 species